rnacentral:tRNA from 2 species
GCGGGAGUGGCGGAAUUGGUAGACGCACCAGAUUUAGGUUCUGGCGCCGCAAGGUGUGAGAGUUCAAGUCUCUCCUCCCGCACCA